CCCCUACCUUCCUCUCGCGGCUCUUGCGCUCCUCGCGGCGCCUCUCGAACUCCUCGAAGGAGAUUUUCCCCUCCAGAUUUUAAAAGAUCAUUAUUUAUUAUUUAAAUUGUGGUAGCACGGAGCAACCCCAGUCACCAACGAGGGGGCCCAUUUUGAAAAAAAAAAAUUAAUGGUGAUUGCCUAUCUCCUAGAACUGGAAGGGACCUUGAAAGGUCAUGAGAAGCUGCACACCAAGCUGGACAUGUGCAUGGUGGGGGACACCACCCUUCUCUCUUUUGCCCUGGCUCAUGAAGCCCUACACUCUCUCCUGGGCCACCCCACCAGAGGCCUGUGUACCCUCUCUCUCUGCCUUUCCUCCCACACCCUGCAGAGACAAUAGAAGACAAUUUGUUUUGGAAAAAAUAAACUCUUUGCUUUUUAUUUGAGAUCAAAGUAACUGGGAUGGGA